UGGGCGGCUUCUCUGCGGAUCGACCUGGGACGCCGGUCGUGAAGUGGGCCAACAUACAGCGAAGCGUGGACUAAGGCCCAUUAAUCAGCUCCAGGCCCCCAAGGAAAAAUGCCCCAUCUUCCCGAUCCUUUGCCCCCUGUCCCCUGCCUCUUCCUGCGCGUUCAUGGGGUUGCUUCCUCUCCCUUCCAAUUCCUCUUCAGCGGUGAUCCAGAGCCACGCACGCGCUAUCGUUUCUGGGCAGCCUCCAUCGCGGGAACUCCCACGGUGCCCAUCACGCGCUCCUCGUCUGCGAACUCUCUCUCUCUUUCUCUCCCUCUCUCUCUCUCCCUCUCUCUCUCUCUAUCUCGCCGUCGAGCAGGGUGUCCCCUCCCCUGGCCGUCCGAUGGUAAUUACCCAUCACGGCAUCACCUAUUGUUCUUUGCUCGUCUCGCCUUUCCAGUUGCUAUAGGAAAUUUCAUUUAUUUUUUGCCGGCCGCUCGAGAUUAGAAAGUUGGCACUGUCUCGACUGCUUCGUUCUUGAUUUCGUAUAUGGAUGUGGUAAUCCUGCAGUAGGCGAAAGAAUGGAAACAAAUUAAUUUAUCUACAGAUGGACAUGGCAUUUAUUGUUUGUGAUGGCAGAUUAAUUGAAUCCUGAAUUUUGAUGUCACGUAUUUCCUGUAGUUGUUUACUAGCGUGUUGCUAUCUGCCUAUCUCCAAUGUUCACAUAUUCUGGAGUUUAGAUCUUAUGUUAUGACAUGCAUUUUCUUGGAGGAACAACAAAGAGAGUUGAGUGCAGGGUUAGGUUUGGUUCAGGCAGUAGAUCAAUUAUGUAAAGCUGUAUCACAACUGAAUAACUAGCAGACGAAUGAUGCAAGAGGAGAUGAGCUUGUGCUGCUCUGCGACAGAGGUGGUCGAACACAUUAGGUUUUUCUUGUCAGGUUGGGGGUCUUCUGAUAUUUUCUUGCUGCUCCAACUUUUACUGAGAUAAAUUUGUGCUGGAUUGAAGUUGAAGCUCAGUUGAUCAAAAGUAAAGAGAUAAGACAUGUUUUAUCACCAACGAGAUUAGUACAAUAACAUUUAUAGUUUCUCAUACAAUGUCUUUUCAGUUUUCACUCCCAGAAUAAAUUGGAUAAAUUAAGGCAUCUCAAUUUAUGAAUCUGAAGUUUCUAUAUUAUGUACGCCAAUGAAAUUUAACUAAAUAAAAAACUGGCAGUAUGCCUCAGUUAUGUAUUCAAGUUCUCACUUAGGGUAGACCAUAUGGAAAGUUUUGAUUUACUGCAUAAUUCUCAGCAUGUGCUUCUUUAUUUGUUUGCCCUGCUAUUCUGUACAUGUUCACAACAUCAAACUCUGAGUUAAGCAGUUAACUAGACAUCACCUUCUCAUCCCUUCUCCCCAGCCUCACCAGAUACAGUGGUGGGGGUUUCUCCUGCCAGCGUGGCGAUUGAAUCCUAGGUGUGGUAGAACGACGCAGCCGCUGGCCUUCCCGCGUUUCCCCAUGUGGUGCAGCUGUGCGGGGUUUCAUUAACAAGUCUGGUGGCAGCAAUGGUUUUCUUUCCAAUGGGCCACCGUGGGAAGCAGCAAGGCAUUUGAUAUGGGUACCGAUCACAGCAGGUUGCGACUGUUGGUGUUGUCUCUCCUUCUCCUUCGGAUUUUGAUGUUAUAUCCCCCAAAAAUCACUUCACCACUUAAUUAUUGCAUGUUCCAUGGCGAGCUACCCUCCUCAGCUUCUCCAUAACCGAACCCCAAGUUACAGUGAAUUUGCUUCUGUACUGAUAGAACUAUUUGUAGGUCAAUGCGUUGUGAGUGAAAGCAAAGGCAAUAUUUAUGAAGGAGAGUAGUGUUCAGGUAUGGCAGAGCUUUCUUCCAAUUUUGCAAUAGCGUCAUAUUGUUAUUAGGUUAUUACUGGUUGUUAGAAAAAUAUUAUGCACUUGUCGUUGCUUAUGACACUUUCAGUUUUUUUAGGUGAGCAUACAAGAAGUUGCCCUUUCUGAGUUUUAGUUUAAAGAUCUUAGUGAUCAUGUUUGCUGCUGCAUACAAGAAGUUGCUCUUUCUGAGUUUUAAUUUAUCAAUGAAAUGAACUUGCAUCUUUGCAAUUUUUCUUUUUCUAGAUUUUUAGUGACAUAUCUUUUGUUUUCAUAUGGAUGAACUAAAUGGUUGAUUCCUUGUUUUGUCUUUCUACUUAUUUGUUUUCAGAGAAAGAAGCCUAAGCAAGCAGAAACAAGGCUUUUAAAUCUUUUAAUGACAAAUAGUAUUUGCAUGAUAAGUCCGAAGGCAAUAGGCUGCUUUAUAUUUUUCUUCUAAAUCUCAAGGAUAUCUGUUGCUUUUUAUAACUCCAUAUUUCGAAAUUAAUAAUUUCCCCAUGUUAGAAUUCAAAUAACUUCCAUAUACCAUAUAUUCAAUUUCAUAGGCAUGCUAAGGGCAAAUGAGCAUCCAUUUUGGUUCCUGUGUAAGUACAUGGUUGUAGAGUGCCUUCUUUUCUUGAACUUAUAACCUGGAGUUCCUUGGCUGGAAACUUUAUUGAUACUCCAUUUGACAUCGUAUCUGUCAUGUUCAUUUACUACUCACCAAUUGUUCUUUUCCUGCAUUUUUCCUCCACUGCAUAUCAAGUGAGUGGAAGCAAAUCAACUGCUAUAUAUGCUUGAGUGAGCAUAUUAUGAAGUGCAAUACACUAGAUUAUAUCGACACUUUAAAUUUACGGUGCAAUAUAUAAGCGUUUAAAUGUACCUUUUGUCAUCAUGUAUAUCAUCUUUCUCUAAAUUAUGUGGUCCAUAUUCAGGUACGAGAAGUAGAACUACAUGAAAAGUAUAAGCUAGGUACUACUGUUUUUGCUCUCUAAUUCAUGAGUGUCUGCCUCGUGUUGCUUAUCAGAGUCUUGCAAAUUCGAAUAUGUCUGCCAUAAAAUUUAGUAGCAAAACAAUAUUUUGCUACAAGUUCCUGCAUUUCAAGGUGGAAAUGUAUAUGUUCUUUGCUCUCUAAUAUCCUUUGUUUUUGUAAGCUUAUGUGAUGACAGUAGGAGCUAACAGCACUCAACCUGCACAAAAUGGUGGCAAUAGGAGGAGCCUGCUUCCUCAAUCUGGAGGCAUAUGACACAAGGAUCCGUGGCUUCUUUAUGGUCUUUUCAAGUCGUAUAAUUUUAUUUGAUUGUCAAAAUGAAUCUUGAUAUGCAUUAGUGGUAUUAAGGUAAUUUAUCGUACGUAUUUGCAGUGUUAUAAUUGAGUCUUCGGUCUUCGUAAUCUGUAUCUACUUGCCAUGUAAUAUUGGGUAGUAUUUUUCAAUGUCUUAAUGUUUGCAUGAUUUUCAAUCAUAUAAAUUUAUCACAUGUUAUUAUGUUAUUUCA